CAAGUGAGCUCUGAGCCCCAGCAUGCUGGAUCCCCAAUAAACCCUUUGCUGUUGCAUGAGACAGUCUCUUGGUUGUCUCUUCCUCUGAAGCUCGCCCGACCUUUACAUCUGGAGGCCCUAGCGAGAUCUGGCAGCGGCAGACAAAAGACCCCCAACAGGCCCCUCUUGGGCCUACUUGGGAUGACUGCCAACAACUCCUAGGCACUCUCUUCAUGACAGAGGAACAAGAGAGAAUCCUCCUGGAAGCUAGAAAAAAUAUCCUGGGACCAGAUGGGCGACCGACACAACUUCCCAACAUAAUCGAAGCCGACUUCCCCUUGAACCGACCCAACUGGGACACCAACACCUUUGAAGGUAGGGAGCAUCUGUCCACUUAUCGCCGGGCUCUAAUAGUGGGUCUCUGAGAGGCCACUAGGCGACCAACUAAUUUGGCCAAGGUAAGAGAGAUUAUUCAAUGGCCUGAUGAAUCUCCCUCUAUGUUUCUAGAGAGAAUUAUGGAGGCAUAUAGGAGAUAUACUCCUUUUGAUCCUCAGGCAGAGGAUCAAAAGGCAUCUGUCAUGAUGGCCUUUAUUGGGCAAGCUGCCCUGGAUAUUAAAAGAAAGUUACAAUGCUUAGAUGGAUUACAAGACAUGACUUUGAGAGAUUUGGUCAGAGAAGCCAAGAAGGUAUACUAUAAGAGAGAAACUGAGGAAGAUAAAGAACAAAGGAGGGAGAAAGAAAAGGAGCAAAGGGAGGAUGAGAGAAGCAAAAGACAGACUAAGGCAUUGACUAAGGUCCUGGUCACAACAACAAAUAGGCCAGAAAUUAAGAAACAGGGAGACAGGAAGGGAUACCUGGGCCCAUGCCAGAGGCCACCUCUGGCCUCAGACCAAUGUGCCUACUGUAAAGUAAAAGGACAUUGGGCCAAAGAGUGCCCUAGAAAGAGACAGCCACACCAGCCAGCCAUUCUAACUCUGGAGGAUGACUAGGAAAGUCGGGGCUCGGAUCCCCUCCCCGAGAUCAGGGUAACUUUUGAAGUGGAGGAGACCCCAGUAAACUUUGAGGUGGAUACAGGGGAAGUAUACUCAGCCCUUAAGGCCCCAUUGGGCCCUCUAUCAAAUAAAAGGUCUCUAGUUCAAGGGGCUAACGGCAGUAAAUAUCGGGCUUGGACAACUAAGAGGACCGUGGACCUGGGGAAAGGAAAAGUCCAUCACUCCUUCAUAGUGAUCCCAGAAUGUCCGGCCCCAUUGACGGGCAGAGAUCUGCUCACCAAGCUCCGGGCCAAAAUAACUUUUAACCCUGAAGGCCCCCAAUUGGAAUUUCUAAAUCCUUCAGUAAAAACUCCUAUAGUCACGGCUUUAACUAUGUCAGUAGAAUAUGACUAUCAACUCUUUACACCCCCCAAGGCUGAUCAAACAGGCAAGCUACCCCAGAAAUGGAUAACAGAUUACAAAGAUGCCUGGGCAGAAACUGCUGGGUUAGGCCUAGCCAUGAAACAACCUCCAAUAACAGUGGAGUUAAAAAUCUCAGCCUCCCCAAUUAAUGUCAAACAAUAUCCUCUGAGCAAAGAAGCUAAAGAUGGGAUAAGGCCCCAUAUUCAGAAUUAUCUGGCCUUAGGGGUCCUAAGGCCCUGUCAAUCAGCCUGGAACACUCCCCUGCUACCACUAAAAAAGCCAGGAUCCGGGGACUAUUGCCCCGUACAAGACCUAAGAGAGAUCAACAACAGGGUGCAGGACAUUCACCCCACAGUACCUAAUCCGUACAAUAGCUCAGUACUCUGAGCCCUGAGUGAAAAUGGUAUACUGUUCUGGACUUAAAAGAUGCUUUCUUUUGCUUGCCUCUGCAUAAAUAUAGUUAGUUGCUGUUUGCUUUCGAGUGGGUAGACCCAGAAACCGGAACAUCUGGUCAACUAACUUGGACUAGUUAGUUGAACUAGGGGUUCAAAAACUCCCCCACUCUCUUUGAUGAAGCCCUCCACAGAGAUCUCAACAACUUCAGAAGUACGCACCCCAAAGUCACCCUGCUUCAAUAUGUGGAUGACCUGCUACUGGCAGCUGACACCAAGGAAAACUGUGAGUCUGGGAUCCAAGCACUAUUAUCCGAGCUUGCUCAACUCGGGUAUAGAGCUUCUGCCAAAAAGGCCCAAAUUUGCCAGCAAGAAGUAAUCUUCCUGGGCUAUUCCCUCAGGGGCGGUAAAUGAUGGCUCACUGAGCCCAGAAAACAAACUGUUGUGCAAAUACCACCUCCAUCUAACAGGAGGCAACUCAGAGAGUUUCUUGGGACUGCUGGCUUUUGCAGGUUAUGGAUACCUGGGUUUGCAUCCUUAGCUGCUCCUUUGUACCCGCUGUUAAAGGGAGAUGCCCAAUUCCAAUGGACCCCUGAGCACCAGCAAGCUUUUGAUAACAUCAAGAGGGUGCUGCUAUCUGCUCUGGCCUUAGCACUCCCAGAUGUAGAAAAGCCCUUUACUCUCUACAUUGAGGAAAAGAAAGGAAUAGCACGAGGAGUGCUCACUCAGACUCUAGGACCCUGGAAAAGGCCUAUAGCCUACUUGUCUAAAAAGCUGGACCCAGUGGCUGGUGGAUGUCCCCAUUGCCUAAAAGCUAUAGCAGCGGUGGCCCUACUAAUCAAGGAUGCUGAUAAGUUAACGCUGGGGCAGAAGCUAACCAUUAUAGCCCCCCAUGCCCUAGAGAGUAUCAUCCACCAGCCACCAGACAGAUGGCUAUCAAACUCUAGAAUAACACACUAUCAGAGCCUGUUGCUUGACAAGGACAGAAUAAUGCUGGGACCCCCCGCCCCGCUUAACCCAGCUACACUACUACCUGAACAAUCAUCAGGACCCUUCACUCAUGACUGUCAACAUAUACUGGCAGAAUAAACCAGUAUACGGGAUUUAAAGGAUCAGCCACUGCCCCACCCUGAGGUCAUAUGUUUUACUGAUGGCAGUAGCUUUCUCCAGGACGGUAAGCAGCGAGCUGGGGCAGCAAUAGGAACUAAAGUCAUCUGGUCCUCUAGCCUCCCGGAGGGAACAUCAGCUCAAAAGGCAGAGCUGAUCACCCUAACGAAGGCAUUAGAGCUAGCGGCAGGCAAAAAGGCCACUAUAUACACAGAUAGCCGCUAUACCUUCGCUACCGCUCAUAUACACGGGGAUAUCUAGCAGCAAAGGGGACUAUUAACCUCAGCGGGAAAGGAAAUAAAAAACAGAGAUGAGAUCCUCCGCCUCCUCUCAGCAGUGCAAAGCCCUAGAGAACUAGCUAUAGUGCACUGUCCAGGACACCAGAAAGGAAACGAUCCCAUAGCGGUCGGGAACAGGAGGGCAGAUGAAGAGGCUAAAUUGGCAGCCCUAAACAGAGUAACCAUGUUAACACUUUCCACACCGGAGGAACAUAAGUCAGGAGAUUUGACUAUGUCGGAGCACCCCGACAACUUAACAUCUAAGGACACUGACACUGAACUCCUCGAUUUCACUGAGCCCAGCCUGCAAUUUCAGAAAGCCCUACACUACGUUAAAAAUGUACAUCAACUCACUCACCUUGGUUCAAAGAAACUGCAGGCAUUCCUGAAGGAUCAAGAACAGAGUUUUCCACUAACCGACUCACAGCGAAAGGAAAUAUCUGAACGGGUAACAAAAGCCUGUCGGGUCUGUCAAUUGGUUAAUGCUUACCCUUCCAAGCUUCCUGCAGGAAAGCGCCUAUGAGGAACCAGACAGGACAAUUCUGGGAAGUGGACUUUACUGAAAUUAAGCCAGCAAGGUAUGGACUUAAAUAUCUCCUAAUCUUUGUAGAUACAUUUUCAGGAUGGAUUGAAGCCUUCCCCACAAAAAAAAAGAAACGGUGCAAAUGGUGGUCAAAAAGAUCCUGGAAGAUAUUUUUCCAAGAUACGGCCUGCCUAAGGUAAUAGGAUCUGAUAAUGGACCGGCGUUCAUGGCCCAGACUUAAAGCUCUUGAAAGAACCCAGCGAUACCUGUGGAAACAGCUGGCCACUGCCUACCAACCUGGGGACAAAGGGACUCCACACUGAUAUCAAGUGGGAGACUUCGUCUACAUAAGACGACACCAGGUGUCAUCCCUGGAACCCCGCUGGAAAGAACCAUACCAGGUGCUACUUAUAACACCUACAGUGGUAAAGGUAGACGGAAUCACUUCCUGGAUCCAUGCCUCUCAUCUCAAGCCUGCGCCCUGUCCAGACUCUGGCUGGAAAUUGGAAAAGACUGUUGUUUUACAGAACAGGCGAGGGUGGAACCUCCUCUUCAUGAGAGAAGAGGGCCUUUGUGCUGCAUUGAGGGAAGAAUGUUGUUUUUAUGCCGACCAUACUGGAGUUGUAAAAGAAUCUAUGAGUAAAUUAAGAAGACGCCUUGAAGAGCGUCAGCGAGAGAGAGAAGCCCAAAAAGGGUGGUAUGAGUCUUGGUUCACACAGUCCCCCUGGUUAACCAUGCUUUUAUCAGCCCUGGCUGGUCCAUUAAUAAUCCUCAUAUUAUUGCUAACUGUAGGACCUUGCUUGCUCAACCAUGUAGUUUCCUUUCUCCAAGCUCAAAGUGGACAAGUUUAACUUAUGGUAAUCAGACAACAAUAUACCCCACUAGCAGACAUAGAAUGUGACACCCCCCAAUGAUCACUUUUAUGAUUAAAAGUAGCCAGAAGAAGAAGUGGGGAAUGAAAGGUUAAUAAAAUAGGUACUUGCCACUCCGUUUUUCUAUAUGCUUAACAAAACACUGUUGAAAUCUUAAGAACUGUUUGCUAAUCUUGUUCCCAGAAUGGGCUGUCCCCAACUGCCAAACUGCAGAAUGUAACUUCCCUCCAUGCCCUCUCCAAGGAAAGUAUAUAAGUUCUGCUUAAGCUGUUCUCAGGGCUCUCUUUGCUCUAUUCAAGUGAGCUCUGAGCCCCAGCAUGCUGUAUCCCCAAUAAACCCUUUUCU